rnacentral:rRNA from 1 species
GACGAACGCUGGCGGCGUGCCUAAUACAUGCAAGUCGAACGAGAGCGCCCGGUGCUUGCACUGUUCAAUCUAGUGGCGAACGGGUGAGUAACACGUGGGUAACCUGCCCAUCAGAGGGGGAUAACAUCCGGAAACGGAUGCUAAAACCGCAUAGGUCUUCGAACCGCAUGGUUUGAAGAGGAAAAGAGGCGCACGCUUCUGCUUAUGGAUGGACCCGCGGUGCAUUAGCUAGUUGGUGAGGUAACGGCUCACCAAGGCCGUGAUGCAUAGCCGACCUGAGAGGGUGAUCGGCCACAUUGGGACUGAGACACGGCCCAAACUCCUACGGGAGGCAGCAGUAGGGAAUCUUCCGCAAUGGACGCAAGUCUGACGGAGCAACGCCGCGUGAGUGAAGAAGGUUUUCGGAUCGUAAAACUCUGUUGUUAGAGAAGAACAAGUGCUAGAGUAACUGUUAGCGCCUUGACGGUAGCUAACCAGAAAGCCACGGCUAACUACGUG